UUACCAAGAGAUAGUUUGAGUGUAAUCCCCACAAAUUCUGACUUUACCAUCUGGCUUUAAGAAGGUGACAAUAGAUGAUUCACGUACAACUUUCUAUCGAAGAGCCAGAGGUACUGGUCGUGGGCUCUUGUACCUAGGCCUAGCAUUAUCUUUGAUAUGGACUAUAGCUUUAGCAUGAGAAACAGUUUGACCUUCAGAGUCCUCAAAAAGAGUAGGAAACUCAGCCAUUAAAGAAUUUGUCGAACUUUCUCGUAAGGUUGUAGACUUGCAAUGACAACGAGAACUACCAUUAUUAAUAGAUACUGCUCCGCCUCCAAAAAAAUGAAUAGAUCCUGCAUUCCUACGAUCCACAGACUUGUGUACCAAAAAAACUUGGAAGAAUGUUCACAUUGGCACCCAGAUCAAGUAAGAACUCGAUCCUCCCUCCAUCAACACUGAGUUUAGCAAACGCCCGUUUAUCCUUCGUGCUUGUUAUCACUGUAGAGACAUUACCCUGAAUUGUAUUACUGACGUAGGAUUUACAAAAAUGAGCAAAGUGAUUCAUUCGAUUACAUUUUGUACAUUUUUUACCCUACGCUAUAAAUUUACAUUUUAAAAAUACAUGAACAUUACCACAAAA
rnacentral:lncRNA from 1 species